rnacentral:misc_RNA from 1 species
AAUCAUUUAACGAAGAGUGAUGAGGUAUUUUUCAUAUACAUUAUUGCUUAUCUUGAUCUGUGAUUUGGUAUUUUUCAUAUGCCAAGAGAAAUUACCUACUAAUGUCCCUGAUUUUGUGGUUAUUCUAUUGUUAGUUGUAUACAAAACUAAUUUCAUGGUUUGAUGUGCUAUUAAGAUAUUUUUGAAUGGGAAAUUGAAACCUCAAAUCUUGGUACAUCUGGAGCUGAAGCUCAGUGGUACAUCAAUUUUAUAGUGUUGCUAUUUGUUCAUGUAUGCAGAACAGUUUUUUUUUUUUUUUUU